UUAAGCGACUAAGCGUACACGGUGGAUGCCCUGGCAGUCAGAGGCGAUGAAGGACGUGCUAAUCUGCGAUAAGCGUCGGUAAGGUGAUAUGAACCGUUAUAACCGGCGAUUUCCGAAUGGGGAAACCCAGUGUGAUUCGUCACACUAUCAUUAACUGAAUCCAUAGGUUAAUGAGGCGAACCGGGGGAACUGAAACAUCUAAGUACCCCGAGGAAAAGAAAUCAACCGAGAUUCCCCCAGUAGCGGCGAGCGAACGGGGAGCAGCCCAGAGCCUGAAUCAGUGUGUGUGUUAGUGGAAGCGUCUGGAAAGGCGCGCGAUACAGGGUGACAGCCCCGUACACAAAAAUGCACAUGCUGUGAGCUCGAUGAGUAGGGCGGGACACGUGGUAUCCUGUCUGAAUAUGGGGGGACCAUCCUCCAAGGCUAAAUACUCCUGACUGACCGAUAGUGAACCAGUACCGUGAGGGAAAGGCGAAAAGAACCCCGGCGAGGGGAGUGAAAAAGAACCUGAAACCGUGUACGUACAAGCAGUGGGAGCCUCUUUAUGGGGUGACUGCGUACCUUUUGUAUAAUGGGUCAGCGACUUAUAUUCUGUAGCAAGGUUAACCGAAUAGGGGAGCCGAAGGGAAACCGAGUCUUAACUGGGCGUUAAGUUGCAGGGUAUAGACCCGAAACCCGGUGAUCUAGCCAUGGGCAGGUUGAAGGUUGGGUAACACUAACUGGAGGACCGAACCGACUAAUGUUGAAAAAUUAGCGGAUGACUUGUGGCUGGGGGUGAAAGGCCAAUCAAACCGGGAGAUAGCUGGUUCUCCCCGAAAGCUAUUUAGGUAGCGCCUCGUGAAUUCAUCUCCGGGGGUAGAGCACUGUUUCGGCAAGGGGGUCAUCCCGACUUACCAACCCGAUGCAAACUGCGAAUACCGGAGAAUGUUAUCACGGGAGACACACGGCGGGUGCUAACGUCCGUCGUGAAGAGGGAAACAACCCAGACCGCCAGCUAAGGUCCCAAAGUCAUGGUUAAGUGGGAAACGAUGUGGGAAGGCCCAGACAGCCAGGAUGUUGGCUUAGAAGCAGCCAUCAUUUAAAGAAAGCGUAAUAGCUCACUGGUCGAGUCGGCCUGCGCGGAAGAUGUAACGGGGCUAAACCAUGCACCGAAGCUGCGGCAGCGACGCUUAUGCGUUGUUGGGUAGGGGAGCGUUCUGUAAGCCUGCGAAGGUGUACUGUGAGGUAUGCUGGAGGUAUCAGAAGUGCGAAUGCUGACAUAAGUAACGAUAAAGCGGGUGAAAAGCCCGCUCGCCGGAAGACCAAGGGUUCCUGUCCAACGUUAAUCGGGGCAGGGUGAGUCGACCCCUAAGGCGAGGCCGAAAGGCGUAGUCGAUGGGAAACAGGUUAAUAUUCCUGUACUUGGUGUUACUGCGAAGGGGGGACGGAGAAGGCUAUGUUGGCCGGGCGACGGUUGUCCCGGUUUAAGCGUGUAGGCUGGUUUUCCAGGCAAAUCCGGAAAAUCAAGGCUGAGGCGUGAUGACGAGGCACUACGGUGCUGAAGCAACAAAUGCCCUGCUUCCAGGAAAAGCCUCUAAGCAUCAGGUAACAUCAAAUCGUACCCCAAACCGACACAGGUGGUCAGGUAGAGAAUACCAAGGCGCUUGAGAGAACUCGGGUGAAGGAACUAGGCAAAAUGGUGCCGUAACUUCGGGAGAAGGCACGCUGAUAUGUAGGUGAAGCCCCUUGCGCGUGGAGCUGAAAUCAGUCGAAGAUACCAGCUGGCUGCAACUGUUUAUUAAAAACACAGCACUGUGCAAACACGAAAGUGGACGUAUACGGUGUGACGCCUGCCCGGUGCCGGAAGGUUAAUUGAUGGGGUUAGCGGUAACGCGAAGCUCUUGAUCGAAGCCCCGGUAAACGGCGGCCGUAACUAUAACGGUCCUAAGGUAGCGAAAUUCCUUGUCGGGUAAGUUCCGACCUGCACGAAUGGCGUAAUGAUGGCCAGGCUGUCUCCACCCGAGACUCAGUGAAAUUGAACUCGCUGUGAAGAUGCAGUGUACCCGCGGCAAGACGGAAAGACCCCGUGAACCUUUACUAUAGCUUGACACUGAACAUUGAGCCUUGAUGUGUAGGAUAGGUGGGAGGCUUUGAAGUGUGGACGCCAGUCUGCAUGGAGCCGACCUUGAAAUACCACCCUUUAAUGUUUGAUGUUCUAACGUUGGCCCGUAAUCGGGGUUGCGGACAGUGUCUGGUGGGUAGUUUGACUGGGGCGGUCUCCUCCUAAAGAGUAACGGAGGAGCACGAAGGUUGGCUAAUCCUGGUCGGACAUCAGGAGGUUAGUGCAAUGGCAUAAGCCAGCUUGACUGCGAGCGUGACGGCGCGAGCAGGUGCGAAAGCAGGUCAUAGUGAUCCGGUGGUUCUGAAUGGAAGGGCCAUCGCUCAACGGAUAAAAGGUACUCCGGGGAUAACAGGCUGAUACCGCCCAAGAGUUCAUAUCGACGGCGGUGUUUGGCACCUCGAUGUCGGCUCAUCACAUCCUGGGGCUGAAGUAGGUCCCAAGGGUAUGGCUGUUCGCCAUUUAAAGUGGUACGCGAGCUGGGUUUAGAACGUCGUGAGACAGUUCGGUCCCUAUCUGCCGUGGGCGCUGGAGAACUGAGGGGGGCUGCUCCUAGUACGAGAGGACCGGAGUGGACGCAUCACUGGUGUUCGGGUUGUCAUGCCAAUGGCACUGCCCGGUAGCUAAAUGCGGAAGAGAUAAGUGCUGAAAGCAUCUAAGCACGAAACUUGCCCCGAGAUGAGUUCUCCCUGACUCCUUGAGAGUCCUGAAGGAACGUUGAAGACGACGACGUUGAUAGGCCGGGUGUGUAAGCGCAGCGAUGCGUUGAGCUAACCGGUACUAAUGAACCGUGAGGCUUAACCUU
rnacentral:rRNA from 1 species